UCGAAAUGGAGCUGUCGUGAAGCAGAAAUUUGGUGAGGCAUUAGAAUCAUGCUGCCUUACAGGGUCUGUAGAAAACCAAGUAGAUUCUCUUUGCAAGCAUGUUAUGAAAUCUGCGGAAAUUAUAUCCAAUGGUGAUGCAGUGCAAGAAGUUGACAAGGAGGUGAUAGAGUUGAUACCAGUACCAGAUACUGAAAAUACAUCUGAUGGCCAUGGAGCUCCUGAAAAAUGUGUCUUUAACGAUAGUGAGACUGGCUUCGGUCAAGCAAAGUUGAUUCUCUUUGAGGAUGCUGAUAUCAAUUUCCCCGAAGAUCGUGGUUUUAUUGCUGCCAUACAGCAAAUUACUGAAAAAGCAAAGGGGCCUGUGAUACUGACUAGUAAUAGUAAGAUGGAUUUAGGGUUGAAACAGUUUUAUUUUUUCUUGACCCUUGUAUGACUUGAUAUAUUUCUUCAUAACUCCAUGUUGUGAUGGUAAUUCUCAGGUACAAAGCUUAUUCUGCCAGACAACUUGGGCAGGCUAGAGUUAUGUUUCACAAUGCCAUCACCAGAAGUGCUGCUUCACCAUCUUUAUAUGGUUUGUGAAGCAGAGAGAGCCUCCAUUCAACCACAUUUACUAAAGCAAUUAAUUAAAUGUUGUCAGAGUGAUAUCCGGAAAACUAUUAUGCACCUCCAGUUUUGGUGUCAAGGAAAAAAAACAUCAAAAAGUUAGUAAAUUGCAGAAGACUUAUGGCUUGCAGCUGUUUGAUAUCGAGGCGGGUCAUUCGGUACUACCAACUAUGAUCCCUUGGGAUUUACCAUCUCAGUUAUCAGAGUUAGUUGAGAAGGAAUUUUCUAAGACAUUAUCCAUAACUGAAGACGAUUCAACUUUAAUGGAGGUGAUGGAGGAAGAACUUGAAAACAACAUAUAUAAUGGUUUGGAGAUACAUAAUAAAGAGAUGGACAGC